AAAUGCCUGGCCUUCCCAUGUACGCCGACGACUCAUGAUAACUUUUAUUUUCCCGGCGAAACACCGAAGUAGCCUCUAAUGCAUCUCUUCGCAUUCAUUACCGGUGAGAGUGUAUAUAUAUAGUGGAUAUUAUGCGUAUAAAUAUGCCAAUAUGUACGUACAUGUAAGUGCUCUUUCAUGUCUCCUCUUCGUCUUCAUCAUCUUGUGGAGAAUUCUUUUUUUCUUUCUGCGUCUUGGUUUGAGAGAAAAGAGAGAGGAGAUGAACUUUAAAACU